UGCUUUUAGCCUAGUAGAGAUGUGAACCCA
rnacentral:piRNA from 1 species